UACGUAGGGACCGAGCGUUGUCCGGAAUCAUUGGGCGUAAAGAGCGUGUAGGCGGCCACUUAAGUCCUGCGUGAAAUCUUGCGGCUCAACCGCAAGCGGUCGUGGGAAACUGGGUGGCUAGAGUGCGGGAGAGGAGAGUGGAAUUCCUGGUGUAGCGGUGGAAUGCGCAGAUAUCAGGAAGAACACCCGUGGCGAAGGCGGCUCUCUGGAACGUAACUGACGCUGAGACGCGAAAAGCGUGGGGAGCAAACAGG
rnacentral:rRNA from 1 species